rnacentral:rRNA from 1 species
CAGCAGCCGCGGUAAUACGUAGGGUGCAAGCGUUAAUCGGAAUUACUGGGCGUAAAGCGUGCGCAGGCGGUUUGUUAAGACAGAUGUGAAAUCCCCGGGCUUAACCUGGGAACUGCAUUUGUGACUGGCAAGCUAGAGUAUGGCAGAGGGGGGUGGAAUUCCGCGUGUAGCAGUGAAAUGCGUAGAUAUGCGGAGGAACACCGAUGGCGAAGGCAGCCCCCUGGGCCAAUACUGACGCUCAUGCACGAAAGCGUGGGGAGCAAACAGGAUUAGAUACCCCAGUAGUCCCUGUCUCUUAUAA